UACGAACCGUCCUAACGUUGUUCGGAAUCACUGGGCUUAAAGGGCGCGUAGGCGGGCAGCCAAGUCUGAGGUGAAAUCUUUCGGCUUAACCGGAAAAUAGCCUUGGAUACUGGCAGUCUCGAGGGAGGUAGGGGCAUGUGGAACUUCCGGUGGAGCGGUGAAAUGCGUUGAUAUCGGAAGGAACGCCGGUGGCGAAAGCGACGUGCUGGACCUCUACUGACGCUGAGGCGCGAAAGCCAGGGGAGCAAACGGG
rnacentral:rRNA from 1 species